GGAGGAUACUAAAGAAUUGCUUGUGUCUUGCUAGGUUUAAAUUUGUUUACAAAGAAGAAACUAGUGUUUCGCCAUAUUUUGUCUGUUCGAUGACGUGUCCAAUAUACAAAAACAUAGUAGGCAUAUGACACCAUGAUCUAGCCACCUGGACCACACAGCUCGGGUAGCGGCACAAGGCCCCUUUGAUAGCUCCACAGGCUUCAGUCCUAGUCCGAUCCCCCUAGCA
rnacentral:lncRNA from 1 species